rnacentral:rRNA from 1 species
ACGAGGAUAACCUCGGGAAACUGAGAAUAAUACUCGAUAGAUCAUUAUGCCUGGAACGGUUUAUGGUUCAAAUGAAUUUCGCCAUAGGAUGGGACUGCGGUCUAUCAGCUUGUUGGUGAGGUAAUGGCCCACCAAGGCUAUUACAGAUACGGGCUCUGAGAGGAGAAGCCCGGAGAUGGGUACUGAGACACGGACCCAGGCCCUAUGGGGCGCAGCAGGCGAGAAAACUUUGCAAUGUGCGAAAGCACGACAAGGUUAAUCCGAGUGAUUCCUGCUAAAGGAAUCUUUUGUUAGUCAUAAUACCACUAAUGAAUAAGGGGUGGGCAAGUUCUGGUGUCAGCCGCCGCGGUAAAACCAGCACCUCAAGUGGUCAGGAUGAUUAUUGGGCCUAAAGCAUCCGUAGCCGGCUUUGUUAGUUUUCGGUUAAAUCUAUAUGCUCAACAUAUAGGCUGCCGGGAAUACUACAAAGCUAGGGAGUGGGAGAGGUAGACGGUACUCCGUAGGAAGGGGUAAAAUCCUUUGAUCUAUGGAUGACCACCUGUGGCGAAGGCGGUCUACCAGAACACGUCCGACGGUGAGGGAUGAAAGCUGGGGGAGCAAACCGGAUUAGAUACCCGGGUAGUCCCAGCUGUAAACUAUGCAAACUCAGUGAUGCAUUGGCUUGUGGCCAGUGCAGUGCCGCAGGGAAGCCGUUAAGUUUGCCGCCUGGGAAGUACGUACGCAAGUAUGAAACUUAAAGGAAUUGGCGGGGGAGCACCACAAGGGGUGAAGCCUGCGGUUCAAUUGGAUUCAACGCCGGG